rnacentral:rRNA from 1 species
AUUGAACGCUGGCGGCAGGCUUAACACAUGCAAGUCGAGCGGGGUGAUGGUGCUUGCACUAUCACUUAGCGGCGGACGGGUGAGUAAUGCUUAGGAACCUGCCUAUUAGUGGGGGACAACAUCUCGAAAGGGAUGCUAAUACCGCCUACGUCGUACGGGAGAAAGCAGGGGAUCACUUGUGACCUUGCGCUAAUAGAUGAGCCUAAGUCGGAUUAGCUAGUUGGUGGGGUAAAGGCCUACCAAGGCGACGAUCUGUAGCGGGUCUGAGAGGAUGAUCCGCCACACUGGGACUGAGACACGGCCCAGACUCCUACGGGAGGCAGCAGUGGGGAAUAUUGGACAAUGGGGGGAACCCUGAUCCAGCCAUGCCGUGUGUGUGAAGAAGGCCUUAUGGUUGUAAAGCACUUUAAGCGAGGAGGAGGCUCUUUUGGUUAAUACCCAAGAUGAGUGGACGUUACUCGCAGAAUAAGCACCGGCUAACUCUGUGCCAGCCGCCGCAGUAA